rnacentral:lncRNA from 1 species
AAUCUUCCCUUCCUCAUUCCUCCUGAUGAGCAAAUGCAAAUCUCUCUCUCCCCCCCCCCCAGCAUAUUUUGCCUUUCUUUCAAGCUACAGAUUUGAAACCUGUGGGCUGCUUAGAUGACAUUAGUGGUGUGGUUUUCUAUAUUCCCUCUCCUGAUCUUCUUUUAUUUAAUUCUUUAAAAACAAAAACAAAAAAACCCCAACCGCAUUGCAGAAAAACAGCAGCUAGCUAGUUGGGGGCAGCGCUCUUUUACAUACGGGUUAGACACGGCUAGAGGCCAAGGUCAAGUUGAAAGUUGCAGUCUAGCCAAUGUGAGAACUGUCAUUCACAACCUCGAGCCCCUUGUCUGAUUUGUUAAAAAGGAGCAGCCAUGA